rnacentral:rRNA from 1 species
ACCCAAUGUGAACGUUACCAAACUGUUGCCUCGGCGGGAUCUCUGCCCCGGGUGCGUCGCAGCCCCGGACCAAGGCGCCCGCCGGAGGACCAACCAAAACUCUUAUUGUAUACCCCCUCGCGGGUUUUUUACUAUCUGAGCCAUCUCGGCGCCCCUCGUGGGCGUUUCGAAAAUGAAUCAAAACUUUCAACAACGGAUCUCUUGGUUCUGGCAUCGAUGAAGAACGCAGCGAAAUGCGAUAAGUAAUGUGAAUUGCAGAAUUCAGUGAAUCAUCGAAUCUUUGAACGCACAUUGCGCCCGCCAGUAUUCUGGCGGGCAUGCCUGUCCGAGCGUCAUUUCAACCCUCGAACCCCUCCGGGGGGUCGGCGUUGGGGAUCGGCCCUUUACGGGGCCGGCCCCGAAAUACAGUGGCGGUCUCGCCGCAGCCUCUCCUGCGCAGUAGUUUGCACACUCGCAUCGGGAGCGCGGCGCGUCCACAGCCGUUAAACACCCCAAACUUCUGAAAUGUUGACCUCGGAUCAGGUAGGAAUACCCGCUGAACUUAAGCAUAUCAAUA